UAUUCAUUCCAAGCAAUUGUUCAGAAAAGUUGUGAAAUUACCCUACAAAGACGGAGUAGUAUUGAUACCAUUUUUGCAUGACAAAACUGAAUAAAGUAUGUAAGAUAUUUAAAUUAUUUUUGCCUUUGCUGUCUUGUCAUCUGCUUAAAAAAAUUAUUUUGAUAAUAUGAAUACAGUAUCUCUAAUGUCUCCUUUUUCAUACUGAACUUUUGAGUCUUAUAUUCUGGAUAUUCUGGCCUCAAUUUUUUUUUUUUUUUUCAUGUGUGCUACAUCUACUCCCUCCUGUUCUCAUUUCACAUCUUUAUUCCCUCCUGUUCUCAUUUCACAUCUAAAGAUGGCUGUAACACCUAGUGGAAGUCUUUAUACGAGAAGAUAAUCAUCAAUGGAUGUGGAAACGAGCAGUCUGGCUUGAGGGAAAACGAGAAGAGGAGCAUACUGUACCAUGUAGCUGGAUCGAUGAGGAAGAGCAAGUCUUAUAUUGGCCUCAAGGUGUAAAUGCAGAGAAGGCAUUGAGGUCUCAACAACACCCGGACUUAAAAUCUUGGAGGAAAUUCCGUUUGGUUAAAGUGAAAAUAUCAUCAGAUAGUUACCAAGACUGUGAAGAUUACCUGCACACAUCUACAGUUGAGGAUACUCUGAGCAGUGCUGACUCUGAUGGUGAUAGUAAUGGUGUAUCAAGGAUCAAGAGAAAACGUCCUAAGAAGAUCCUUCCAGAUGGCUUUGUCAGUAGCCAGGAUAUGCGUGUGUUGCAGGAAGUUACUCCAGCCAAGACAAAGAAAGGGAUUUCACCUCUGAACAAGGUUCCAGAUCCUCCUCAAAAGCUGCCUUCACUACCAAAUGGGGCCACACCAUCACCUCAGUCUCAAACGUCAUCUACCAGAAGCAGAAGUGUAACUUCUACUUCAUUUCUAAGAAGGUCAAGUUCUUCUGAUUGUGAUUGGGAUGUGGAUGAACAACGUUCUCCAAUGUCUGGAUCUAGCCAAGAUUAUUACAAGUCUUGCAACCCUGGCCAUACCAAGAAACUUAAGAAUGACAGCCAUAACAGCCUGGAC